GACGAACGCUGGCGGCGUGCUUAACACAUGCAAGUCGAACGGAAAGGCCCUGCUUUUGUGGGGUGCUCGAGUGGCGAACGGGUGAGUAACACGUGAGUAACCUGCCCUUGACUUUGGGAUAACUUCAGGAAACUGGGGCUAAUACCGGAUAGGAGCUCCUGCUGCAUGGUGGGGGUUGGAAAGUUUCGGCGGUUGGGGAUGGACUCGCGGCUUAUCAGCUUGUUGUGGGGUAGUGGCCUACCAAGGCUUUGACGGGUAGCCGGCCUGAGAGGGUGACCGGCCACAUUGGGACUGAGAUACGGCCCAGACUCCUACGGGAGGCAGCAGUGGGGAAUAUUGCACAAUGGGCGGAAGCCUGAUGCAGCAACGCCGCGUGCGGGAUGACGGCCUUCGGGUUGUAAACCGCUUUCGCCUGUGACGAAGCGUGAGUGACGGUAAUGGGUAAAGAAGCACCGGCUAACUACGUG
rnacentral:rRNA from 1 species